GAGUUUGAUCCUGGCUCAGAACGAACGCUGGCGGCAGGCCUAACACAUGCAAGUCGAGCGAGACCUUCGGGUCUAGCGGCGGACGGGUGAGUAACGCGUGGGAAUAUGCCCUUCUCUACGGAAUAGCCCCGGGAAACUGGGAGUAAUACCGUAUCCGCCCUACGGGGGAAAGAUUUAUCGGAGAAGGAUUAGCCCACGUUGGAUUAGGUAGUUGGUGGGGUAAUGGCCUACCAAGCCUACGAUCCAUAGCUGGUUUGAGAGGAUGAUCAGCCACACUGGGACUGAGACACGGCCCAGACUCCUACGGGAGGCAGCAGUGGGGAAUCUUAGACAAUGGGGGCAACCCUGAUCUAGCCAUGCCGCGUGAGUGAUGAAGGCCUUAGGGGUUGUAAAGCUCUUUCGGCGGGGACGAAAUGGUACGUGCUAAUACCACGGACUGAUGACGGUACCCGAAGAAGAAGCACCGGCUAACUACGUGCCAGCAGCCGCCGUAAC
rnacentral:rRNA from 1 species